rfam:Treponema bryantii strain B25 genome assembly, contig: Ga0070255_107
UUAAAGGCUUUUCUAAGCAAAGCCAUAAACUUAUUCCAGAAGUUUGCUU